CUGAGAGCUUUAGAAACAGACAUCCUCUGUAAAAGAACAAAACAGGUACAGCAUAUGUAGUGCCAGUGUAGGCUUCCACCACACUCCUCCAUCAAUAUGCUUCAAACAUGUUCUGAAGGGACCACAUUAUGCUUAAGGGGGAUUGUUCAUUCUCCUUGUCCCAUUCAGUCUCUGACUUGU
rnacentral:sRNA from 1 species